rnacentral:lncRNA from 1 species
AGUGCACAAUAGUUCCUUUCCUCCACAUCCUCACCAACACCUGUUAGCUCUUGUCUUCUUAUGACAGCCGUUCGUACAGGCAUGAGGUGACAGCUCAUUGUGGAUUUGGUUUGCACUUCCCUGAUGAUUAGUGAUGGCCAGGACGGUUCUGUUGUAAACCAGUGACUUCCUUCUAACGGCUCAGACAGUCAUGAACAAACGCGACAUGAAAGGCCAGCACAAGAGCUCAGACCUCUGGACCCUCUCUGAGUAUCCCAUAUCUUGCUUGUAAUGUGGUCACACUGGAGCACCUGGUUCUCAUAAAAGUUCAGCCCAAACGAAAUACAGGACCGUAAGCUCCAUCAGUGGACAUGGUCUGUCUGAUGCACUUACCAGGAGGGGAAUACUAUCCAGGAUGGAACACCAAGGAAACCUCUGAAUUGCUCAAAAUGUAAAAAGAAUCCUGAUACUUUAAAUGAUGUCUAAAAUGGUUUUGUUAAGUCGAAAAACACCAGCUGAGAUUUUGAUUUGCAACUCAUCUUAGGUUGGGCUCCUCAGGAAAUGGACAUCGAGAUGAAGAUUUGCAGGCAGGUAACGUUUGGAGAGUUGAAAUAGCUUCAGCCAUUGCUGUGAAGUCUCCACAAUUCUUUGAAGAAAGUUACUCUUCAAACCGCAACUGCUGUUCAAUAAAAAGAAAAGAUGCUGUGGUCAUGGUGUUUGUGCAAUAUUUCUGCAGUAUCAACUUUUGAUUCAGG